CUGAAUAACUACGCAGAUCGCAUGGUCUAGUACCGGCGACAUAUCCUUCAAGUGCUUCCCUUAUCAACUUUCGAUGGUAGUUUAUUGGACUACCAUGGUUGUAACGGGUAACGGAGAAUAAGGGUUCGACUCCGGAGAGGGAGCCUGAGAAACGGCUACCACAUCCAAGGAAGGCAGCAGGCGCGCAAAUUACCCACUCUCAGAUCGAGGAGGUAGUGACGAAAAAUAACGAGACAGUUCUCUUUGAGGUCUGUCAUCGGAAUGGGUACAACCUAAACCCUUUAACGAGGAUCUAAUCGAGGGCAAGUCUGGUGCCAGCAGCCGCGGUAAUUCCAGCUCGGUUAGUGUAUAUUAAAGUUGUUGCGGUUAAAAAG
rnacentral:rRNA from 1 species